CACUGAGGUGCACGCUGCCCUCCGCGUCCGGCCUCCCGCUGGGCGGCUGCGACCGAGGACGAGUUUGCGCUGAAAACUCUUUGGAGCUAGCAAACGCGCCCCUAGCUCCGGAAAGUCCUAACGAGGCAGACAAAAUGCGACCUUCUCUCGCCGUUUCUCACUCGUCGUAUUUUCCUAAUUGCAACAGUAAUGUAUGUUCGCUGGAAAUGCGGGAAUGUGCAGAAAUUCAUCGUUAACGGCUGCAUACAUUCCAGCAAACGAUUGAAACUAUUUUAACUUACCCUGGACUUUGAGCUGUUACCCAGUUCUCACUUCAGUAAACGAUAACGGAAGGAAGAUCCCUGUACACGAAUUUCUGCACGUCUAGGUUAUGUUUUUAUACCUUCUUUCCUUUUCCCCACGCCCCUCGUCACCCCCCAAAGUGCUACCAGGUAGACCUAAAUGAGUUUAAACCUAAGUGAGGCAGUGGGGAGACUAGAAUUAUUCUGAUAAAGCCCCGUGGAAAGCAGGGAGCUUUCAGUGUAAUCAAGCUCAGUAAAUAUUUGAUUGAUUUUUUUAAUGUAAAUUCACAGUUGUCCAUUUUAUUCUGAUAACAUCUGAAUUUAAAAGGAUGUGUUUGUGUAGAAUUAUAAAGGCCCUUAAGUCAUUUAAAAUUUUCUCUUUAAAUUAUAAAUUGUGUUUAGGUGGUAGGUCUUUUCAAAAUGUUGAAGGAACAAGUGUAGUUGAAGGAUGCUCUUUGGAACUAAUGGACCUAGCUACUCUUUUAACCCGCUAAGUGAUUAACUUUUCUCUUGUUUCCUUACAAAAAUCUUCUCAUUAAGGAAAGGAUGAAAAGUUUUCCAGAAAUAGACUUUCUAACCAACAGUUUAAUAGUGGACAUUUAUUGAACAUCUAAAUUUUAAUGAGAAUUAAGGUAGAAUGUUAACUGGUCCCUGUUGUGCAGAGAAAGGUGACAUACUCUUGCUAACAGCCAAAACAGUAUAUGCUAAAAUGACAAGAUUUAAAAUAUUUUUUUUUUGCCCAUGUUCCAUGAAGAAAAGUGCUACCAGCCUAAAAUAAAAUUUAUUUUGUGUUUUUAUUUUGUUUGGAUAUUUCUGUUGUCUUUGUACAGAUGCUCCCCGUUGGGCUCUAAAUUAUCUUUUGCUUCCUUUGUUAGCUGUUUAAUGGCCAGGGACCUCGUCUGAAAAGUGACAAGUCUUGGUUCGAGUCCCAAAUUGUCGCUUAUUAGCCAUGUAACAUUUAACAAGUCACCUACGUGGGUUGCCCUUUCUACUCUUAAAGUCAAUUGUUAUUAGUAAAUGAGAUAACUCAUCUGAGUAUACUUUGGAAAAUUGUAAAAGAGCAUGCAAACGCAGGGUAGUGGUGAGGGCACAAGCAAUGUGGAAAAUCCUUUUAUUCUUGAUCUUCAUUCAUUUACUCAUUGAUUCAGCAAGUAUUUAUGGAGCUCCUCCUUUAUGCCAAGUACUAUGUGGGCACUGGGAUGCAGCAGGGAGCAAGAGAGACACGGUUCCUGCUUUCCCAGAGCUCACCAGCCAGCCCUAGGGAGGCUGAAGUUUUCAAAGUCUCCUUACCUGACCCUGACCUUCAGAGAGCAACUUUCCUGAUCUUUGUUCCCUAUGGUCUUCCAACAUUCAUGAAAUGUGCAGAGGAAAGGGCUUGGGAGGACAUAGCAAGAAGACAGCCAUCUGCAGCCCAAGGAGAGAGCCCUCAACAGUAACCAACCGGCUGGCACCUUGAUCUUGAAUUUGAACUGUGAGAAAAUCAAUUGGUUAUUUAAACCACCCAGUGUGUGGUAUUCUGUUAUGGGAGCCUGAGUGAACUGAUGCAUGUGUACUGAGCAAAGCCUAGGUGAUUAAUCUAUUUUUCUUUAAGUGACUUUCUCUACUUUAGCAUAUUCACAAAAAUUUUUGAAAUUAUGGUAUCUUAAGCUGAUAAUAUUCAACCAGACUGAAUCUAAGAAACUUACUGACACAUAUAUCUCAUUUAUCUAAGAAACUGAAGAACAUUAAAAAAAA